GACUGUCCAAGUUCCUGAGGGCUGGCUGCCGCUGCCUCCACAGGCCCCAGGCAUCACUCUGGAAACUGCCGCCCUGGAUCUCAAAACUAAUGUCACUUUCCUGAGAAGCCCUUGUGGAAACCUCUGCGCAGACCAGCCUCCCUUACGCCGUGACAGGGACCUCGGCCAUCCUUCACCCACUUUGUGAUGAUGUGUCUAUUGGUGUGAGACUUUGAAAACUGAAACCAUGGAGCUGGAGAGAUGGCUCGGUGACUAAGAGCACUUCCUGCUCCUACAGAGGACUUGAGUUCUAUGCCCAGAGCCUACACUAAAAAAUAAAAUAAAAUAAAAUCCGAAAUGGAGGUACACACAAAAUCCCGGUGCUGGGGAGAUAUGAGGCAGGAGAGUACCGGGGGCAUUCCUAUGAAAUUGAUUUGUAAAAGGCAGAAGACAGCAUCCUAAGGAUGACACAGAAGAUUGACCUCCUGCUUCCACACUCACAUGCAUCUCACACAAAAAUAAGACAAAAAAAUACAAAAUUAUAUUAUUCCAUUCUUAAAAAGUAGAUUGCCAGCAGAGGAAUGGGUGGUGGACACUAAUCAUCCUACCAGAGGGAGGAUUAUGGCCAGUCUGGACGACACAGAAGACCCUCACCCCGCCCCCCAUUCACACACACCUCAAAUUACUACAGCCUAUUAAUGUUCUAACAAAUGCUGCCAAAUUAUACUGUUAAGCUUCAAUAAAAACUGUCCUGAGAUAUGGGAGGCAUGGGGGCUCUUAGCUCACAGAUAAGCACUAGUAGACUCAUGAGUGCUGAGCACACACAGUUGUCUCUUCAAGGGGAGAGAUGUAUAACCUGUUUUCUGUCCAAAAGACUGGGAGCGAAUAUGGUUAAUGACCUGGUGACCUUCAUACUUCCUUAGGAGUCAAGACCUCUCCAGACCCUUCUCACGAGCUUGUUUUUUCUCAGUCAAUCUAUAAAACCUAGCUUUAUGGAAGAUGUGAGGUAUAUUUUACAAAGUUCCAAUACAGUCAAGCCUUUGGCUUCAUUAAGCCUCCACGUACUGCAGUUCCCACGGAGGCCUGUUGGAGGUGCUAGACCCCAUGGAAUUGAAGUUGAGGACCGUUGUAAGCCAUGGACCAUGUAGAUGGUUGAGGGGUUGUUAUCACUAGAAAAAAAUUCACCAAAUUGUGCUGUACUUAAAUUCGCCAAAAAGAAACAACUCAGGGUCAGACUCUUGAUGUUUAGGUUAAACCAGCACCUGCUACUGAGUUGUGUUGAACAGAACUUCUGGGCUUCUUGCUUCUUGUAAACCAUCACUCUGUGGACCGAGGUCACCUCAGAGACCCCCACAACGGGCGAAAAAGAAAGACACUCCUGAAUCCAAAUAAAAUUUUAAACUCU
rnacentral:lncRNA from 1 species